rnacentral:rRNA from 1 species
AGCCUGUGUAGGAUAGGUGGGAGGCUGAGAAGUCUGGGCGCCAGCCUGGAUGGAGCCACCCUUGAAAUACCACCCUGGUUAAGUCUUGGCCCUAACCCCUGGCCGUGAAGCCGGCAGGGGGACAGUGCCAGGUGGGCAGUUUGGCUGGGGCGGCCGCCUCCUAAAAGGUAACGGAGGCGCCCAAAGGUCCCCUCAGGCGGAAUGGAAACCCGCCGUUGAGUGCAAAGGCAUAAGGGGGCUUGACUGCGAGGCUUACAAGCCGAGCAGGGGCGAAAGCCGGGCUUAGUGAUCCCACGGUACCGUGUGGAAGGGCCGUGGCUUAACGGAUAAAAGCUACCCCGGGGAUAACAGGCUAGUCUGGCCCAAGAGUUCACAUCGACGGCCAGGCUCGGCACCUCGAUGUCGGCUCGUCCCAUCCUGGGGCUGGAGUAGGUCCCAAGGGUUGGGCUGUUCGCCCAUUAAAGGGGCACGUGAGCUGGGUUCAGACCGUCGUGAGACAGGUCGGUCUCUAUCCGCUGCGGGCGCAGGGGGCUUGAGGGGAGCUGCCCCUAGUACGAGAGGACCGGGGUGGACGGACCUCUGGUGUACCAGUUGUUCCGCCAGGAGCACCGCUGGGUAGCCAUGUCCGGCAGGGAUAACCGCUGAAAGCAUCUAAGCGGGAAGCCCGCCCCAAGAUGAGGCCCCCCACCGGCUUAGCCGGGUAAGGCCCCUGGGAGACUACCAGGUUGAUAGGCCGCAGGUGGAAGCCCGGCAACGGGUGAAGCCGAGCGGUACUAAUGGCCGAGGGCUUGACUCU